rnacentral:rRNA from 1 species
CACUCGGGAACUGAGGAUAAAACUUGAUAGGAGAUGGUUUCUGGAAUGAGCUAUCUUUUAAAUUCGUGCUUAAGGAUGAGACUGCGGCUGAUUAGGUAGUUGUUGAGGUAACGGCCCAACAAGCCGAUGAUCAGUAAGGGCUCUUAGCGGAGGUGCCCUGAGAAGGACUCUUAGACACUAGUCCUAGCCCUACGGGGUGCAGCAGUUGGGAAUUUUCUGCAAUGCGCGCAAGCGUGACAGAGUGAACCAAAGUGUUUUUCUCUUUAGAAAAACUUUUGCCAGCUGUAAAAAGGCUGGCGAAUAAGGACUGGGCAAGACCGGUGCCAGCCGCCGCGGUAAUCCCGGCAGUCCAAGUCGCAGCCACAAUUAUUGGGUCUAAAAUAUCCGUAGCUUGCUUAAGAAGUUUCUUGUGAAAUCUUACAUCUUAAGUGUAAGGCGAGCAAGAAAUACUCUUAGGCUAGAGACUGGUAGGCGUAAGAAGUACGUUGAGGGUAGUGGUAAAAUAUUUUAAUCCUCGAUGGACUCACAGUCGCGAAGGCGUCUUACGAGAACAGUUCUGACAGUGAGGGAUGAAGGCUAGGGGCGCAAAAGGGAUUAGAUACCCCUGUAGUCCUAGCAGUAAACACUGCUCACUAAACAUUAGUACCUCCUCGAGAGGUAUUGGUGCUGCAGCGAAGGCGAAGAGUGAGCUACCUGGGAAGUAUAGUCGCAGGCCGAAACUUAAGGAU